AUCACCCUGUGACAUACCUAUAACGUUGCCUCGGCGGGAACAGACGGCCCCGUAACACGGGCCGCCCCCGCCAGAGGACCCCCUAACUCUGUUUCUAUAAUGUUUCUUCUGAGUAAACAAGCAAAUAAAUUAAAACUUUCAACAACGGAUCUCUUGGCUCUGGCAUCGAUGAAGAACGCAGCGAAAUGCGAUAAGUAAUGUGAAUUGCAGAAUUCAGUGAAUCAUCGAAUCUUUGAACGCACAUUGCGCCCGCCAGUAUUCUGGCGGGCAUGCCUGUUCGAGCGUCAUUACAACCCUCAGGCCCCCGGGCCUGGCGUUGGGGAUCGGCGGAAGCCCCCUGCGGGCACAACGCCGUCCCCCAAAUACAGUGGCGGUCCCGCCGCAGCUUCCAUUGCGUAGUAGCUAACACCUCGCAACUGGAGAGCGGCGCGGCCACGCCGUAAAACACCCAACUUCUGAAUGUUGACCUCGAAUCAGGUAGGAAUACCCGCUGAACUUAAGCA
rnacentral:rRNA from 2 species